CAGGGAGGAUGGCGAUCAUCAGCAGGUGGAGUGGAGAAACCAGUAAUCUGUAUUUCAGAGCUACACGAACGCGACAGUCUCUGUCAUUUUCGCCAGCGGCGUACUGACCUGGUCAUCGUAACGAUGCCGAGAAGCUGCAUUAAGUAUGUCAGUGU